UGGGGAAUUUUGCACAAUGGGGGAAACCCUGAUGCAGCGACGCCGCGUGAUUUAGAAGGCCUUCGGGUUGUAAAAAUCUUUUGUAUGGGAAGAAAAUGACAGUACCAUACGAAUAAGGACCGGCUAAUUACGUGCCAGCAGCCGCGGUAAUACGUAAGGUCCGAGCGUUGUCCGGAAUCAUUGGGCGUAAAGGGUACGUAGGCGGAUAAGCAAGUUAGAAGUGAAAUCCUAUAGCUCAACUAUAGUAAGCUUUUAAAACUGCUCAUCUUGAGGUAUGGAAGGGAAAGUGGAAUUCCUAGUGUAGCGGUGAAAUGCGCAGAUAUUAGGAGGAAUACCGGUGGCGAAGGCGGCCUUCUGGGCCACGACUGACGCUGAGGCGCGAAAGCUAGGGGAGCGAACAGG
rnacentral:rRNA from 1 species